GUUAGUGGUAGCUCAGUGGUUAAGACAUUAGACUACUGAUUGAAAGGUCAUGAGUUCAAACUUCAGCACUGCCA